AAACUCCCAAAGAAUCCAAAGAGCAUUCUGCUGAUCCGUGUCCAGCAACAAAGGAAACAGCCAAAAGCACUGAGACUAUUGACCCCCAAUCAGAUGACAAAACAAGCACACACCUGGAGAGACAAGAACAGCAGCCAGUUAAUAGAGAUGUAGAUGUCUCCAGUUCACCAGCAUCUGAGGAGAUGUGUGUUCUAGUCGAAGCAAAUACCUUGGAAGGGUCCACUAAAGGUCCACUUAUUUCAUCAAACAGUGAUUAUAUACAAGUGUACUUCCAUGCUGUCACUUCCAAAGAGUUACAUUUGGAUCCAGA